CGGACACGUAGGCAGCGGUCGAAGAUUGGUUGGAUUCCGCUGCCUAAACCUCCACGAGAAGAAGAAAAGUGCGUGAUCACACCGAAUGGAGAUGGGUCUUGGUUUGAGCCUAAUUUCCCAGGUGUUGGUCAUUUAAGACAAGUGAACAAAAUUUUAGGUAACAUAUGCCGUAUGCUUUGGCCUGGAAUGGUAGAACUUGUAUCUGGUGAACGGAUCCCUGCUACAUCUUGGAAUUAUUAUAGAUAUGGUGUCAACAUAACAUUCGGCAAUACCCAAAAGGCAGUUUGGGCUGAGUUUUGGAAAUACUACAAGUUGCCUGAGGAGGGAGCUUAUGAUGAUCAUGCCAGACGUGUGUUCCACCAUAACGCACACAUUGUGGUUAGAGAUAUGAUUUCUUAUGCCAGAAUUCAGGUUGUUGCUUCUUAUCUGGAAC